rnacentral:lncRNA from 1 species
GGAAGACCCUACAGAAAAGAGCGUUUGGACGUUUCUGAUCGGAUCUGUGACCGGUGGCACCACCCAGAGCCACCACCAGGGCCACGCGGGACCGCAGAGUAGAUGCCUUUACUGUCGGCUGCCCAGGACACCUUCCCGGCUUCAGGGUUCCUCCAGAAAAUGAGAACUAUCCAUUCCACGGCAAUUGGAUGAUUGAUUCCUCCUGAUGAGUUUUCCAGGUGACCCCAGUUUGAGUGACCCAGGUCAGUUUCCUGGGAGAUGGGUGCAUAUGCUGCGUGAAAAUAUGGUUUCGGUUCUGCUGGUUCUGUGUCAUUGUUUUGAUUUAGGGCCUUCCAGGUUGGUUUCUUUCCUUGAGACGGGGUCUCUCUGUGUAGUCCAGGCUCACGUCAAACUCAUCAUGUGGCCCAGGCUGGCCUCAGACCCACAGUGAUCCUCUCGUGUCAGCCUCCCAAGUGCUGAGAUGACAGUGUGCACCACCAUGCCUGGCUUGGUUUCAUUCUUCACCAUGUGCUCUGUGAGACGGAUAUAAAUAAAUGGAGUCCAAACCCAAAGAGUCGUUGUGCACUCUGUGAUUUCUAAGCCCAGUGGUUCUGUGUGUGUGUGGCCUCCACUGCUGAGAUACACACUCAGUAGCACUGUCUCCAGCUUUUUUUUUUUUUUUUUUUCUUUUGGUACCGGGGGGUUGAACUUGGGUCCUUGCGCUUGUGCAGCAGGCGCAGCAGGCGGUGAAACCACUGAGCUAAAUCCUCCCCCCCAAUAAAUGACUGUCAGGUGCGGAAUUCAUGCAGCCUGGGGGCCGGGAGCCCAGCACUGCAGGACCAGAUGGUGGGAGCUGGGUUCUCCUGGGAGAGCACUAUUUUUUUGUGUUUGUUUGUUUGCUUUGGUACAAGGGAUUGAACUCUGGUCCUUGCACUUGCGCAGCAGUCUGGGAAACCACUGAGCUAAAUCCCCCUGCCCUUUUUUUUUUUUUGGUACUGGGGAUCGAACUCCGGUCCUUGCGCUUGUGAGGCAGGCGGCCCUCCAGCUGUUGUGGAGAGGGACUUUGCCACCUUCACACCUGGAAGUGUGGGCACUGGAGGUGCUCUUUGACCUCAAGGACCGUGAGCUGUUGGGAGAGACAAUGCAUGUGGGCAGAUGGCCAAGGUCUCAGACCACUGGGAAGGGAGUGGCCCCCAUGCCUCUGGGUGG